rnacentral:rRNA from 1 species
GAUCAUGGCUCAGAUUGAACGCUGGCGGCAUGCUUUACACAUGCAAGUCGAACGGCAGCACAGGGAGCUUGCUCCCGGGUGGCGAGUGGCGCACGGGUGAGUAAUACAUCGGAACGUGUCCUGUUGUGGGGGAGUAACUGCUCGAAAGGGUAAGCUAAUACCGCAUGAGACCUGAGGGUGAAAGACGGGGGAGUCGCAAGACCUCGCGCAAUUGGAGCGGCCGAUGCCCGAUUAG